rnacentral:rRNA from 1 species
UACGUAGGGUGCGAGCGUUAAUCGGAAUUACUGGGCGUAAAGCGUGCGCAGGCGGUUCGUUGUGUCGGCGGUGAAAGCCCCGGGCUCAACCUGGGAAUGGCAGUGGAUACUGGAGAGCUAGAGUGCGGUAGAGGGUAGUGGAAUUCCCGGUGUAGCAGUGAAAUGCGUAGAGAUCGGGAGGAACACCAGUGGCGAAGGCGGCUACCUGGACCAGCACUGACACUGAAGCACGAAAGCGUGGGGAGCAAACAGG